AUUGAACGCUGGCGGCAGGCCUAACACAUGCAAGUCGAGCGGAUGAAGGGAGCUUGCUCCUGGAUUCAGCGGCGGACGGGUGAGUAAUGCCUAGGAAUCUGCCUGGUAGUGGGGGAUAACGUCCGGAAACGGGCGCUAAUACCGCAUACGGCCUGAGGGAGAAAGUGGGGGAUCUUCGGACCUCACGCUAUCAGAUGAGCCUAGGUCGGAUUAGCUAGUUGGUGGGGUAAAGGCCUACCAAGGCGACGAUCCGUAACUGGUCUGAGAGGAUGAUCAGUCACACUGGAACUGAGACACGGUCCAGACUCCUAAGGGAGGCCGCAGUGGGGAAUAUUAGACAAUGGGCGAAAGCCUGAUCCAGCCAUGCCGCGUGUGUGAAGAAGGUCUUCGGAUUGUAAAGCACUUUAAGUUGGGAGGAAGGGCAGUAAGUUAAUACCUUGCUGUUUUGACGUUACCAACAGAAUAAGCACCGGCUAACUUCGUG
rnacentral:rRNA from 1 species